UUGUGUCUCUUGUGAACCCACUUGUCGUGGAGCGAGAGGGAAUUUGGGAGGGCCAGGGGUUAGUCUGGCCUUUGUCUUAGCUGUCAUUUUGGCGGGUUUUUCUUUUUCUUCAGGGGAUUUCAGUCUCCACAUAGUUUUGGAGCCGGACUUUUGAAGAAUGAUUCAUGAAUCCGGAAUGGGUGACAGCAUCAUCACGGCAUUUUAUUGACAGACCAUGGAUUCUUACAAUGCACCAGAAUCAACUCCUAGUGCAUCCUCAAGACCUGAAGAUUACUUUAUAGGUGCCACUCCUCUGCAGAAACGAUUAGAAUCGGUCAGGAAGCAGAGUUCAUUUAUCCCGACUCCACCUCGAAGGAAAAUUCCCCAGUGUUCGCAGUUGCAGGAAGAUGUUGACCCUCAAAAGGUUGCAUUCCUUCUGCAUAAACAGUGGACUUUAUAUAGUUUAACUCCCUUAUAUAAAUUCUCCUAUAGUAAUCUCAAAGAGUAUUCUAGACAUCUCAAUGCUUUUAUUGUUGCUGAAAAGCAAAAAGGACUUGCUGUGGAAGUGGGAGAAGACUUCAACAUCAAAGUGAUUUUUUCUACUCUCCUAGGAAUGAAAGGAACACAAAGGGACCCGGAAGCAUUUCUUGUCCAGGGUCUCAUUUUGUCACCCAGGCUGGAGUACAGUGGCACGAUCUUGGUUGACUGCAACCUCUGCCUCCUGGGCUCAAGUGAUCCUUCCACCUUAGCCUUCCAAGUAGCUGGGACUACAGAUUCUGUCAAAAUCUCAAUUGCCAUCUGAGAAUAGAGAAGAUAAAGUGUUGUGGACUGGCUGGUUCUGCUGUAUAUUUGGAGACAGUCUUCUGGAGACUGUUUCAGAAGAUUUCACCUGUCUGCCCUUAUUCCUUGCAAAUGGAGCAGAGUCUAACACAGCAAUAAUUGGAACUUGGUUUCAGAAAACCUUUGACUGUUAUUUCAGUCCUUUAGCAAUCAAUGCAUUUAAUCUUUCCUGGAUGGCUGCCAUGUGGACUGCAUGCAAAAUGGACCAUUAUGUGGCUACUACUGAAUUUCUUUGGUCUGUACCCUGUAGCCCUCAAAGUCUGGACAUUUCUUUCGCAAUACAUCCAGAGGAUGCAAAAGCUCUAUGGGACAGUGUCCACAAAACACCUGGGGAGGUUACCCAGGAAGAAGUUGACCUAUUCAUGGACUGCCUUUAUUCACAUUUCCAUAGACAUUUCAAAAUUCAUUUAUCAGCCACAAGAUUAGUUCGUGUUUCAACAUCUGUAGCUUCAGCACAUACUGAUGGAAAAAUAAAGAUUCUGUGUCAUAAAUACCUUAUUGGAGUGUUAGCAUAUUUGACAGAACUGGCAAUUUUUCAAAUUGAGUGAAGCCUUAAUUGGACUAUAAGUUAUAGAUUAUAUACUCUUAUUGAUUACUUGCCUAAUUGCUAUGCUGAAAGAGACUGCAGGAGAAAUAGGCAUCUAUCUCUGCAUCUGUUUUCCCCACUG
rnacentral:sRNA from 1 species